AAACCAUGAUGAAGACAAUUGCGUAGGAUAUGUUUGAAUCUUUUAUGUGCCUCAAAGAGUAUUUAGAAAUCCCCCUGCCUGAAAGAUGAAAUCUCUUGCCUUAGUCU